rnacentral:tRNA from 1 species
GGAGGUUUGACCGAGCGGUAAGGUGCCCGACUCUCAAUCGGCGGCUGUCCUGGCCAUACCAGGGCACGUGGGUUCGAUCCCCACAGCCUCCGCCA